UACGUAGGGUGCAAGCGUUGUCCGGAAUUAUUGGGCGUAAAGAGCUCGUAGGCGGUUUGUCGCGUCUGCUGUGAAAACUCGGGGCUUAACUCCGGGCCUGCAGUGGGUACGGGCAGACUAGAGUGCGGUAGGGGAGACUGGAAUUCCUGGUGUAGCGGUGAAAUGCGCAGAUAUCAGGAGGAACACCGGUGGCGAAGGCGGGUUGCUGGGCCGACACUGACGCUGAGGCGCGAAAGCUAGGGGAGCGAACGGG
rnacentral:rRNA from 1 species